rnacentral:rRNA from 1 species
UAUUCCGGAGAGAACUACAGGAUUCCCCUAGUAACUGCGAGUGAAGCGGGAAAAGCUCAAAUUUAAAAUCUGGCGGUCUUUGGCCCGUCCGAGUUGUAAUCUAGAGAAGUAAUGCCCGUGCUGGACCGUGUAUAAGUCUCCUGGGAUGGGGCGUCAUAGAGGGUGAGAAUCCCGUCUUUGACACGGACUACCAGUGCAUUGUGGUAUGCUCUCAAAGAGUCGAGUUGUUUGGGAAUGCAGCUCAAAAUGGGUGGUAAAUUCCAUCUAAAGCUAAAUAUUGGCGAGAGACCGAUAGCGAACAAGUACCGUGAGGGAAAGAUGAAAAGAACUUUGGAAAGAGAGUUAAACAGUACGUGAAAUUGCUGAAAGGGAAACGCUUGAAGUCAGUCGCGUUGGCCGGGGAUCAGCCUUGCUUUUGCAUGGUGUACUUUCUGGUUGACGGGUCAGCAUCAAUUUUGACCGCUGGAAAAGGGCCUGGGGAAUGUGGCAGCUUCGGCUGUGUUAUAGCCUCUGGUCACAUACGGCGGUUGGGAUUGAGGAACUCAGCACGCCGCAAGGCCGGGUUUCGACCACGUUCGUGCUUAGGAUGCUGGCAUAAUGGCUUUAAGCGACCCGUCUUGAAACACGGACCAAGGAGUCUAACAUGCCUGCAAGUAUUUGGGUGAAAAACCCGAGUGCGUAAUGAAAGUGAAAGUUGAGAUCCCUGUCGUGGGGAGCAUCGACGCCCGGACCAGAACUUUUGGGACGGAUCCGCGGUGGAGCAUGUAUGUUGGGACCCGAAAGAUGGUGAACUAUGCCUGAAUAGGGUGAAGCCAGAGGAAACUCUGGUGGAGGCUCGUAGCGAUUCUGACGUGCAAAUCGAUCGUCAAAUUUGGGUAUAGGGGCGAAAGACUAAUCGACCAUCAAUGUAC